AUAUAUAUUUAUCUUGCUGAAUAGCUUGAAACCAUGGUACAGGAAAUAGAGAGUAAAUGUUUUUAUUUUUCAUUCCCUUUCGAAAU